CGCCGCCGCCCCUUCACGCUCCGCGCCUGCCCUCCGCCCCGUCGCCGCACCUGCUGCGGCCGCGCCUGCUCCGCCCCGCCUCCGCCGCUGCCCCGCCUCCGCCGCUGCCCCUUCACGCCCCCGACACCCUCCACGCCGCCGUGCGCAGAGGCUCGGGACGCCCCCGACCGGCGCCGACGGCCGAGCGGCGCCUCCCGCAGGGGGGCCUGGCCGCGGCAGCACGCCCACGACCGACCGACGCCUCCGCCUGGGAUUGCCGGCGGUGCCCUGGGGUUGGUGUUGGGGUUGCUUACUGCCGACUCCGACGGCGAGGCCUCCGGUCCAGAUGUUGCUGCCUGCUGGACACGCAAACUGAAUUCUCCGAUGUUGCUGCUCUGCUGGCUAGGGAGGGAGUCGAGCGACAUACUGACACAUGACAUUCAAUUAUGAGGAUUGAGGAAAUUAACAUUAUUCAGUCAUCGAGGAUUUGGAAAGGGGCAGUAUUUUGAUCUCCUGGUCAUGGACAUGGAGCCAUGGAUUAUACCAACGAACAUCCUAAAUUGGUCCAACUAUGUGGGAUUGACCCGUUUUGAGCUGGACAAAGUUGAUGUACAUAACUUUUUUUGGGGAAUUCUGAACUGAUGUGUGCCACAACUAGAAUCUUUUAAAAAGAAAGGAAGAUGGAUGUAUCUGGUACUGUCUUCUUUUAUUUAAUUUUUCUCUUUGCAGCCAAGAAGGUAUAAUGCAUCCUUGAGAACUACGGUGAUAAGGACUAAGGUGAAACUGCUGGUUCCAACUUCCAACUUGAUAUGCCUUCCUUUCGAUUUGUUUUACUAUACCCAGCGCAUAAGCAUCAGAGUUUAAGCCGGAGUAGGGGCCUGCUAGAGAUGGAGCUUGUCGUAGAGUAGAGGGAAGGAAACAAAACAUCCACUGUGUCAAUCACUCAAGAUGGAGGUGCAUGCAGUUUUCCUGAAAGUUAAGUCUGAGAGCCUGCUCCUACAUAAAGCUGGGUGACGGGACGAUGGCCAAUUUCUGGGAGGACAAAUGGUUGCCGGGUGGGCGUUCCGUCUAGGACCUGGCACCAACACUGCUCACUUUUGUGCCCAAGAGAUGUCGCACGGUGGCCUACGUCCUGUCCAACAAAAACUGUAUAUCAGAGACAUCAAGGCCUCUCUGAGCCGGCGUUGGCCCAAUAUUUCCUCUGGGACGUUAUCGCAGAGGUGAUCACUUCGCCGGACAUCCCCGACUGCGUGGCUGGGCGAAUGCUGAUUUUCCAAUUCCAGGGGGCGGUUUCACUAGCACGGAGAAGUGGUGGAUCAAAGCAAGAAAAGCUGCGCCCAAAGCCUUUGAGGAAGGAUUUCGACACUAAUGACGAUCCUGGUGCACUAGAGGUUGUGGAAAGAGAGAAACACGAGGAUCUUUAAUGGUGUCUCUAGCUCUGUUCAGAAGGUCUUUGAAGUCAUUCUAUAGGAUUUUAGGAUGUGCCUAGCUGCUGGCUGUUUCUAUCAGUUUGUGUAAUUUCUGCUCCUGUUGUAUUUGUAGUCGUCAGCAACAUCAUCUCCGUGUGGCGGAGCUUCAUGUAACUCUCCUUUUCUAUCUUAAUAAAGAUCGGCCAAUGCCUUUGGAGUUGU